CUUUACUGUAGCCUGGAAUUGGGUUCGGGCUUUAACUGCGCAGGAUAGGUGGGAGACUAUGAAGCUGCCCUUGUGGGGGCAGUGGAGUCAUCAGUGAGAUACCACUCUGUCAAGGCUAGAAUUCUAACCGUCUGCCGUUAUCCGGCGACGGAACAGUAUCAGGUGGGCAGUUUGACUGGGGCGGUCGCCUCCUAAAUGGUAACGGAGGCGCGCAAAGGUUCCCUCAGGCUGGUUGGAAAUCAGCCGAAGAGUGUAAAGGCAGAAGGGAGCUUGACUGCAAGAGCAACAACUCAAGCAGGGACGAAAGUCGGCCUUAGUGAUCCGACGGCGCUGAGUGGAAGGGCCGUCGCUCAACGGAUAAAAGUUA
rnacentral:rRNA from 1 species